rnacentral:rRNA from 1 species
GGGUCAGUAGGUUGGUCGUGCCACCGGUACGUACUGGUCUCACUGAUUCCUCCUUCCUGAAGAACCGUAAUGCCGUUAAUUUGGUGUUGCGGGGAAACAGGACUGUUACUUUGAAAAAAUUAGAGUGUUUAAGGCAAGCUAACGCUUGAAUACAUUAGCAUGGAAUAAUGAAAUAGGACGAUCGAUCCUAUUUUGUUGGUUUCUAGGAUUGACGUA